AUGGCCUGGACCCCACUCCUCCUCCUCACCCUGUUCCUUCACUGCACAGGGUCCCUCUCCCAGCUUGUGCUGACUCAGCCUCCCUCUGCAUCUGCCUCCUUGGGAGCUUUGGUCAAGCUCACCUGCACCCUGGACAGUGGGCACAGCACCUAUGGAAUUGGAUGGCAGCAGCAGCAGCCAGGAAAGGCCCCUCGGUAUAUCGUGGGGCUUAGCAAUGAUGGAACCAGCAGCAAGGGGGAUGGGAUCCCUGACCUCUUCUCUGGCUCCAGCUCUGGGACUGACCGCUACUUAACCAUCUCCAACCUCCAGUCCGAGGAUGCGGCUGAUUAUUACUGUCAGACUUCAGAUUGGGGUAUUUCUCACAGUGACACAGGCAAGUGA